AAGUCGAGCGAAUCGAUGGGAGCUUGCUCCCUGAGAUUAGCGGCGGACGGGUGAGUAACACGUGGGCAACCUGCCUAUAAGACUGGGAUAACUUCGGGAAACCGGAGCUAAUACCGGAUACGUUCUUUUCUCGCAUGAGAGAAGAUGGAAAGACGGUUUCGCUGUCACUUAUAGAUGGGCCCGCGGCGCAUUAGCUAGUUGGUGAGGUAAUGGCUCACCAAGGCGACGAUGCGUAGCCGACCUGAGAGGGUGAUCGGCCACACUGGGACUGAGACACGGCCCAGACUCCUACGGGAGGCAGCAGUAGGGAAUCUUCCGCAAUGGACGAAAGUCUGACGGAACAACGCCGCGUGAACGAAGAAGGCCUUCGGGUCGUAAAGUUCUGUUGUUAGGGAAGAACAAGUACCAGAGUAACUGCUGGUACCUUGACGGUACCUAACCAGAAAGCCACGGCUAACUACGUGCCAGCAGCCGCGGUAAUACGUAGGUGGCAAGCGUUGUCCGGAAUUAUUGGGCGUAAAGCGCGC
rnacentral:rRNA from 1 species